CUUGGUCAUUUAGAGGAAGUAAAAGUCGUAACAAGGUUUCCGUAGGUGAACCUGCGGAAGGAUCAUUAUUGAAUGAAACUUCUGGCUGGAUGCUGUUGUGCUGGCCCUUUGUGGCAAUGUGCACGCCUUCUGGUCAUUUGUGUUUCUUCUGUUCCACCUGUGCACUGACUGUAGACACACUGUGUCUAUGAUAUUGGUUACACACACACAAUGUUAUGUUGGCAUGUAUAUAUUAUUUAUAUAAAUACAACUUUCAACAAUGGAUCUCUUGGCUCUCGCAUCGAUGAAGAACACAGCGAAAUGUGAUAAGUAAUGUGAAUUGCAGAAUCCAGUGAAUCAUCGAAUCUUUGAACGCAUCUUGCGCUCCUUGGCAUUCCGAGGAGCAUGCCUGUUUGAGUGUCAUUAAACUAUCAAAACACUUUUUUUAAUAUAUAGUUAAGAAAAAGUGUUUUGGACUUUGGGAGUAUUGUGCUGGCCUGUUUGAGCCAGCUCUCCUCAAAAGCAUUAGCUUUGGAGACCAUCAGUGUGAUAAUUUGUUUACACUGGCUUCUCCUUUUAAAUGCACCCUUUGACCUCAAAUCAGGUAGGACUACCCGCUGAACUUAAGCAUAUCAAUAAGCGGAGGAAAAGAAACUAACAAGGAUUCCCCUAGUAACUGCGAGUGAAGCGGGAAAAGCUCAAAUUUGAAAUCUGGCAGUCUUUUUUUUCUUCUUUGGCUGUCCGAGUUGUAAUCUAGAGAAGUGCUUACCUGCACUGGACCAUGUAUAAGUCUCCUGGAAUGGAGCGUCACAGAGGGUGAGAAUCCCGUCUUUGACAUGGACUGCCAGUGUGUUGUGGUGUGCUCUCAAAGAGUCGAGUUGUUUGGGAAUGCAGCUCUAAAUGGGUGGUAAACUCCAUCUAAAGCUAAAUAUUGGCGAGAGACCGAUAGUGAACAAGUACCGUGAGGGAAAGAUGAAAAGGACUUUGGAAAGAGAGUUAAACAGUAUGUGAAAUUGUUGAAAGGGAAACGCUUGAAGU
rnacentral:rRNA from 1 species